CUGAUUCGACCAUUACGGGUCAUAUAGAUAUGAUAUUCUUUUGUCAAACGAUCAACUUGUUCUGGUGUCAUCCCGCUAUAGCAAAACAUUCCAAUCUGUUCAUAAUAAAUAACAAGAUUGGUAAAUCACAACAGUAAAUAAAUAAAAAUUAUACAGAAGGAGAUUUUCAUAAGUACUCAAACACACAGUAAGUUUUAAAUACAAUUUACCCUCUGUUUAGUAAGAAAGUUUUAUAAGGUAGUGAGAGAUUUUUCAAGAUUUGUAAACCUUGAAUUUGUGUUUGGGAGAUCCGGUGGUUUUUAAAGUGCAGUUUUUCCCAACCCAUCGAAUCACUUUAAAAAACCUAACUUUACUCAACCUUCUCGUAAACAGAGUGUUAAGGUCUGAAGUAUCGAAUCAGUUUCAACUAGGGUCAUAUCAUUUAAAAUACAAUUUAAGGCCCAAAGUAUGGAUUCAAAUUUUCAAUCCAGUUUCAGUUAAGUUCUUCUCAUUAAAAACCAUACAACUUAAGGCUUGAACAAUUUAAAACUGUCAAUUCUCCAGUCCUACUAAACCUUUUCCCCUAAGCUAUCUUAAGUGUUCAAAUGAAAUAUUCAUCAAGUAGAAUAAGUUUAAAACUUAAAAUUUUAUAGAUGAUAAUUAUUACCAUGUGAAUUAGCUAAUAAUCAGUUCCAAAUUGAAAUUUUAAAUUUUUUGUAUUAGGAAAAAUGGGCUUCAACUUUCAGUAGCUAUAUAAUGCUAGCAAAAAUUUCUUUUGGACACUUUUCUUAGACACUCUCUCUACAAUUAGCAUACACAAAUUUAAACAAGUUUCAAGUUUAUAAUUUCAAAUCUGAGAAAAAAUGGACCACUUAUUGGGAGAAUGUUUAAGGAAUGUUCAAAAGAAAGUGAUGCUAGCAUUUUCCCAAGUGUUUAAUUUGACAUGACUUGCACAGAAAAGUUAAAGUACUAUGUAAGAAUUUAGAGAAAAGUAUUAAUUUUAACACUGAAUAAUAAUAAUAAUAAUAAUA
rnacentral:misc_RNA from 1 species